rnacentral:other from 1 species
AGCUCUCUGCUCUGCAGGUGAGGUUCUGAUUGCCCCAGCGGUAUAAUUUUGUAAACGGGGAGAGCACGUAGGUGCUGUGUGCCAGCCCAACCUGGAUUGGGACGCCUGAUGCGCCUUCUGCGAUACCCACCUGUUCAGGACUCGCUUGGAGGCCUGAGAACCCACGGCAGCAGUGGAGAGCUU